UUUGUGUGCUGGCAGGGGAUGUACCAGGAUCAUGAAGGUGGUUUUCCCAGGGUGAGGCUCAUCCAUUGCACUCUGGGUGUGUUCAUCCCUGCGAUUUCCCCAUAUGUGGGAAACUCAACUGCAUAAUUUGUGGUAAUGGGUGAAGGGGGCAGUUCUUAACAUACGUCUCUUC